rnacentral:rRNA from 1 species
CCUACGGGUGGCAGCAGUGAGGAAUAUUGGACAAUGGACGAGAGUCUGAACCAGCCAAGUAGCGUGAAGGAUGACUGCCCUAUGGGUUGUAAACUUCUUUUAUAAAGGAAUAAAACGAGGCACGUGUGCCUUUUUGCAUGUACUUUAUGAAUAAGGAUCGGCUAACUCCGUGCCAGCAGCCGCGGUAAUACGGAGGAUCCGAGCGUUGUCCGGAUUUAUUGGGUUUAAAGGGAGCGUAGAUGGGUUGUUAAGUCAGUUGUGAAAGUUUGCGGCUCAACCGUAAAAUUGCAAUUGAUACUGGCAGUCUUGAGUACAGUUGAGGUAGGCGGAAUUCGUGGUGUAGCGGUGAAAUGCUUAGAUAUCACGAAGAACACCGAUUGCGAAGGCAGCUUACUAAACUGUGACUGACAUUGAUGCUCGAAAGUGUGGGUAGCAAACAGGAUUAGAUACCCUGGUAGUC